rnacentral:rRNA from 1 species
UACGGAGGGUGCGAGCGUUGUCCGGAAUCACUGGGCGUAAAGGGCGCGUAGGCGGCGCGGGAAGUCCGUGGUGAAAGCCCGAGGCUCAACUUCGGGUCGGCCAUGGAUACUCCUGGGCUCGAGCACUGUAGAGGCAGGUGGAAUUCCGGGUGUAGCGGUGGAAUGCGUAGAGAUCCGGAAGAACACCGGUGGCGAAGGCGGCCUGCUGGGCAGUAGCUGACGCUGAGGCGCGACAGCGUGGGGAGCGAACAGG